UACGGGGGGGGCAAGCGUUGUUCGGAAUUACUGGGCGUAAAGGGCUCGUAGGCGGCCAACUAAGUCGGACGUGAAAUCCCUCAGCUUAACUGGGGAACUGCGUCCGAUACUGGAUGGCUUGGAUUCGGGAGAGGGAUGCGGAAUUCCAGGUGUAGCGGUGAAAUGCGUAGAUAUCUGGAGGAACACCGGUGGCGAAGGCGGCAUCCUGGACCGGCAUUGACGCUGAUGAGCGAAAGCUAGGGGAGCAAACGGG
rnacentral:rRNA from 1 species